CUUGGUAGUCCAGGCCGUAAACGAUGAGUGGUAAGUGUUAGAGGGUUUUUGCCCUUUAGUGCUGCAGAUAACGCAUUAAGCACUCCGCCUGGGGAGGACGGUUGCAAGUUGAAACUCAAAGGAAUUGACGGGGGCCCGCACAAGCGGUGGAGCAUGUGGUUUAAUUUGAAGCAAAGUGAAGAACAUUACCGGGUCUGGACAUCCUCUGACAACUCUAGAGAGAGAGCGUUCCCCUUCGGGGGACAGAGUGACAGGUGGUGCAUGGUUGUCGUCAGCUCGUGUCGUGAGAUGUUGGGUUAAGUCCCGCAACGAGCGCAACCCUUGAUUUUAGUUGCCAGCAUUUAGUUGGGCACUCUAAGGUGAGUGCCGGUGACAAACCGGAGGAAGGUGGGGAUGACGUCAAAUCAUCAUGCCCCUUAUGACCUGGGGUACACACGUGCUUCAAUGGAUGGUACAAAGGGCUGCAAGACCGCGAGGUCAAGCCAAUCCCAUAAAACCAUUCUCAGUUCGGAUUGUAGGCUGCAACUAUCCUACACGAAGCUGGAAUCGCUAGUAAUUGCGGAUCAGCAUGGCGCGGGAAUACUUUUCCGGGCCUUGUACACACCUUCCCAAAGGCACCACGAGAGUUUGUAACACCAGAAGUCGGUAGAGUAACCCUGUUUAGGCAGCGGUAACCAC
rnacentral:rRNA from 2 species